rnacentral:rRNA from 1 species
GUGUGCUGGUGAAGUGUUUGGAUCGGUAUCAAUGGGGGGCAACCUCUGUUGGUACUGAGAAGAACAUUAAACCCCCCCACCUAGGGGAAGGAGAAGUCGUAACAAGGUUUCCGUAGGUGAACCUGCGGAAGGAUCAUUG